rnacentral:rRNA from 1 species
CGAGCGGGCCCUUCGGGGUAGCGGCGGACGGGUGAGUAACGCGUGGGAACGUGCCUUCUGGUUCGGAAUAACCCUGGGAAACUAGGGCUAAUACCGGAUACGCCCUUUUGGGGAAAGGUUUACUGCCGGAAGAUCGGCCCGCGUCUGAUUAGCUAGUUGGUGGGGUAACGGCCUACCAAGGCGACGAUCAGUAGCUGGUCUGAGAGGAUGAUCAGCCACACUGGGACUGAGACACGGCCCAGACUCCUACGGGAGGCAGCAGUGGGGAAUAUUGGACAAUGGGCGCAAGCCUGAUCCAGCCAUGCCGCGUGAGUGAUGAAGGCCUUAGGGUUGUAAAGCUCUUUUAUCCGGGACGAUAAUGACGGUACCGGAGGAAUAAGCCCCGGCUAACUUCGUGCCAGCAGCCGCGGUAAUACGAAGGGGGCUAGCGUUGCUCGGAAUCACUGGGCGUAAAGGGCGCGUAGGCGGCGUUUUAAGUCGGGGGUGAA